rnacentral:rRNA from 1 species
UACAGAGGGGGCAAGCGUUGUUCGGAAUUACUGGGCGUAAAGGGCGCGUAGGCGGCCAUCUAAGUCGAACGUGAAAUCCCCGGGCUCAACCCGGGAACUGCGUCCGAUACUGGAAGGCUUGAAUCCGGGAGAGGGAUGCGGAAUUCCAGGUGUAGCGGUGAAAUGCGUAGAUAUCUGGAGGAACACCGGUGGCGAAGGCGGCAUCCUGGACCGGUAUUGACGCUGAGGCGCGAAAGCCAGGGGAGCAAACGGG